UCCGGUGGUCAUAGAGCAGAGGAAACACCCGUUCCCAUUCCGAACACGGCAGUUAAGCUCUGCAUCGCCGAUGAUACUGCGCGGGCAACUGCGUGGGAAAGUAGGACGCCGCCGGGA
rnacentral:rRNA from 1 species